ensembl:lncRNA
UUGUGGUGUGUUUGGAGGGACGUCGGGAUGCUAGUGUCUUGGUGUGUUUGGAGGGACGUUGGGAUGCUAGUGUCUUGGUGUGUUUGGAGGGACGUCGGGAUGCCUAGUGUCUUGGUGUGUUUGGAGGGACGUCGGGAUGCUAGUGUCUUGGUGUGUUUGGAGGGACGUCGGGAUGCUAGUGUCUUGGUGUGUUUUUGGAGGGACGUCGGGAUGCUAGUGUCUUGGUGUGUUUUUUGGAGGGACGUCGGGAUGCUAGUGUCUUGGUGUGUUUUUUGGAGGGACGUCGGGAUGCUAGUGUCUUGGUGUGUUUUUUGGAGGGACGUCGGGAUGCUAGUGUCUUGGUGUGUUUUUUGGAGGGACGUCGGGAUGCUAGUGUCUUUGUUGCGACUCUUCUCUUGGUUUGUUUUUGUCCCAACCUCUUUGGAUACAGCUGUGAUUCACUCAUUCAUCAGACUUGGCUAGCUUUAAUGAUGUCAUGACCUAGAUUUUUCUGGGACAUAUUUCGGUGCAAUGGAGUGUAAUUUCAGGCGUUUUAAGAAGUAAAAAUUGUUUAAAAAAAUAAAUAAAAAAUGGUCUGUUUUUGAGAGUGAUGUCUCAUUUUGAUAAACUUGUCACUAGAUCCCCCCCCCUCACUGCCAUAUAUUUUUCUUAGUUUAUUUUAACAGGGGUUUUUAUCUUAGUCUUGAUCUUUUUCUUUCUGGCAUUGAGUGUGGUUGGUCCUUGAUAUUUUGGUGUUUGUUGAAGGACAGAGUAAAGUGUCUGAGAUUGCCAUUUGAAAAUGUGGUUUUGCAGUGAUGAGGAACUGAGAGACAUACUAGUGUGUGUGUUCUAGUGUUGGUUCUAGAAUGUUUUCUCGUGUUGGUUCUAGAAUGUGCUGUAGUGUCGGUUCAAGAAUGUGCUCUAGAAUAGGUUCUAGUGUCGGUUCUAGAAUGUGCUCUAGAAUAGGUUCUAGAAUGUGCUCUGGUGUCGGUUCUAGAAUAUGCUCUAGUGUCGGUUCUAGUGUCGGUUCACUGUGUUCCAAUGCGUGAACAGGCGUUUAUGAUGUGUAGUUAAUUUGUCAUCAUUAAAGACAGACGUGAGAGAAAUUCAAAAGAAUCACUGUUUGUUAUUUUUUUUUCCUGAAUGAGUGAGUUUGUACUUACCAGUAAUUGUUGGAUAUUGCUGUGCAUCUUUUGUGGAACUCCUACAGUAUAUGGGUGUUGUUUUUUUUAAAAAUAGGGUGUAUCUAUUCCACAGUAAGUAAGGGUUUGUUUUGAAACACGGCCGUUUGUGUAGAGAUGUAGAUGGUACAGAGACGGUGUGUUGAGGGGUUGAAGAACCCAGAGGAACAGAAUCAGGAUCCACCCCCCAUGCCAUACCUCAAAACCCCUGAUGACACACACACACACACACACACACACCAAUAUAAACCUCUGACACACACACACACACACACACACACAAUAUAAACCUCUGACACACACACACAUCACACAAAUCAAGCUGAUACGUUGAUCCAUCAUGCCUUUUUUUUUUCUUUUUUCAAACAGGUUUUUUUCUUUUAUAGUAUUAUAAAACACGUUUUUAAAAUUGAAAUUGUAAUCAAUGCGAAGAAGAAAAGUUAAACCGAUGUUGUUGAUGUGACGCUCCUUAUCCGUGUAGUGGCAGCUCUGGGGUUGCACAUGGUGCUGUUGUAAGUGUGUGUGUUCGGCUGAGGUGAGAUCUCAUCGACUCUGUUCAACCUGUGAUCUUUAACAACCGCAUCCUCCUUUUGUUGAGAAGACAUACCUCCCAGACAUGUGUAACCCUCUUCCUCUGUUAUUUGAGGGGAAAACAUACAGUCGUCCUCUUACCUUGACAUUCCUGAGUUUCUUUGAUUUUUUUUUUUAGUUCUUGCCCAAACGGUUGUGAACUUGUUUUGUUAUUUUAUUUUAAAGAAAAUGUUACAUAAAAACCUGGAGAGAAUUUUUUUACGGCCUUUCUGUCUUUCAUCUGUAGUUGUGUUAAAUAUUGUCUUGAACUGCAUUCAGACACAGCAGCCGUUUAGCUAAAUUCAACUGAUUUUACAUUCUUAAUAAAGCAUGAAUAAAACAAACAAAAACAGUCCAACCAAUAACUACACAAUUAUUUAUUGGGUUAAAAAUGUUUAAAAAAUGCAUUACACUCAUUUGACCAAAACUUUUAAUAGGAAACCACAACAAGUCCAACCCAUAGUCAUAUUCACAACUCCACAUGUUGAACCCACCCUGUAGGGAGCUCUUCAACGGGCUAGGGAGGCUCCUGCCUGGUCCUGGUCGUACAGCGGAGGGGGUGGAGGGGGGUGUUCUUGGCAGGUUUUGUCUGUCCCAUUCUGUGUCUCAUCCAUCCAUUGGUAGGACUGGCAGACGAGCAGAUUCUAUAGCCGUUAACUCGGACACCAGUGUUUCAGAGCUAAUAGGGGUGGGGGGAUGUUCUUGGUAGGUUCUGUCUGUCCCAUUCUGCGUCUCAUCCAUCCAUUGGUAGGACUGGCAGACGAACUGAUUCGAUUCGUUCCGGUUCCCACAGACCAACCAAUCCGGUGCUGAGUCAGGAAGUCCAAGACUGAAGGAAGGGAGCACUGGUCCUUUUCCAACAUCUCCAGUUCAUCCAUUGGCCAUGAGAGGGCUGUGGUCUUCACUGGAGCGAUUUGGAGAAGGGGCUUGACAGUGCAUCGUGUCAGGGUGGGUUAUCAAAUGUUAUGGGAUGGUAGGUGGUAUAGGGGAGACAUCGAGGAUGGUAGGUGGUAUAGGGGAGACAUUGAGGAUGGGAGGUGCUAUAGGGGAGACAUCGAGGAUGGUAGGUGGUAUAGGGGAGACAUCGAGGAUGGUAGGUGGUAUGGGGAGACGUUGAGGAUGGUGGGUGGUAUAGGGGAGACGUUGAGAAUGGUAGGUGGUAUAGGGAGACGUUGAGGGUGGUAGGUGGUAUAGGGAGACGUUGAGGAUGGUAUAGGGAGACGUUGAGGAUGGUAGGUGGUAUAGGGGAGACGUUGAGGAUGGUAGGUGGGAGACGUCGAGGGUGGUAGGUGGUAUAGGGGAGACGUUGAGGGUGGUAGGUAGUAUAGGGAGACGUUUCAGGGUGGUAGGUAGGUGAGGGUUGGAGUAGUGUAAAUAAAACUGAAUAUUUUAAGAGAUAUUCAAUGGGUUAUGGAGUGGUGGCUCUGUGAGGUAUGAAGACAGAAAAAGAGAGGUUAUGUGUGUUUGAUGCCUGAGAGAGAGAACGGUACAUCUGGUAAGGAGUGGGGUGUGUUAAAAAAAAAAAAAUGGCCGAUUCAGAAGAGACUGAUGUUUCAGCAGUACUGGGACAUGGUCAGGAGAGGAAAUUAGAGAAGCCUGAGACCUAGAGAGAGGGAAGAGGAUAAGGAUGGCUAACUGGUAUGGACUGGUAGGUAGCAGUCUAAUAUGAGGACUGGUAGGUAGCAGUCUAAUGUGAGGACUGGUAGGUAGGUAGCAGUCUAAUGUGAGGACUGGUAGGUAGGUAGCAGUCUAAUGUGAGGACUGGUAGGUAGGUAGCUGUCUAAUGUGAGGACUGGUAGGUAGGUAGCAGUCUAAUGUGAGGACUGGACUGGUAGGUAGCUGGUUAAUGUGAGGACUGGACUGGUAGGUAGCUGUCUAAUGUGAGGACUGGACUGGUAGGUAGCUGUCUAAUGUGAGGACUGGACUGGUAGGUAGCUGUCUAAUGUGAGGACUGGACUGGUAGGUAGCUGUCUAAUGUCAGGACUGGACUGGUAGGUAGCUGUCUAAUGUGAGGACUGGAAGGUAGCAGUGUAAUGUGAGGACUGGAAGGUAGCAGUGUAAUGUGAGGACUGGUAGGUAGUAGUGUAAUGUGAGGACUGGAAGGUAGCAGUGUAAUGUGAGGACUGGAAGGUAGCAGUGUAAUGUGAGGACUGGUAGGUAG